rnacentral:lncRNA from 1 species
CCGGCUUCUCGUAGCCCUCCUCUUCUUGCCCCUCAUUACUUGGCCUCCCAUAACUAGGCCUCCUCGGUGGCUCCUCCACCUCCGGACUCUCGUAGCUCGGCCUCCCAUACUGUGGCUUCCUGGGGGACCCUUCCCCACCAUAACCAUACCCGCCACCUUGUUCCUCUCCGAAGCUAGGUUUCCGACCGUACCCAGAUCCAUAUUCAGAACUCGGUGCUUCGUACUCAGGCCUCCGACCAUACCCAGAUCCAUACUCCGAACUGGGCUGCUCGAACUCGGGCCUCCGACCAUACCCAGAUCCAUACUCCGAACUAGGUUGCUCGUAUUCAGGCUUCCGACCGUACCCAGAUCCAUAUUCCGUGCUAGGCUGUUCGUAUUCAGGCUUCCGACCGUACCCAGAUCCAUAUUCCGAGCUAGGCUGUUCGUAUUCAGGCUUCCGACCGUACCCAGAUCCAUAUUCCGAGCUAGGCUGUUCGUAUUCAGGCUUCCGACCGUAGCCAGAUCCAUAUUCCGAGCUAGGCUGUUCGCAUUCAGGCUUCCGACCGUACCCGGAUCCGUACUCCGAACUGGGUUCCUCGUAAUCAGGCUUCCGCCCAUGCCCAGAUCCAUACUCACCCUCCCCACCAAAACUCGACGGCGGCUUCGGCUGAUACCCAUACUCACCACCAUCACCACUGCCUCCGAACCCUCCUUGGCCAGGAGGUGGUCCGGC